CCGCUGCGCCUGCUCGGAAGUGGAGGAGGAGGCGGCUCGGGCUGCGGCUGUCGCUCCUCCGUCGGCUCUUGCGUAGGGUAACCGGGACUGCGCGAAAGUCACACACCCUGCGACGGGAAGCGGCGGCGCGGCGCUCCGGGCGCGGGCCUGGAGGGGCAGGGAUGCGGCUGAUAACGCAGACGUUGCAGAAACGCGUUUCUUUGCUGCGGCGGGCAGCAAAGGGCAGCGUGGUGUGGAGGAAGCGUGGCUCAGCUGCAGAAAUACAUAACCUAGAAGGACCGGCAGAAAGCAUCCAGUCCAUUCAGCUCGGGAAUUCUUGCGCUCUUCACAGUGCUGAGUAGGUGCCGCAGAGUUCAGGGCUCGGCACCAACAGAGCAGCAGCAGCAGGUCCACGUGGGAGGCGUGGUGCAGAGUGACUGGAAGGCUGCGCAUCAGAAGCAGACCUGGAGGAGUUCAAGAAAUGUGCAGAUGUGACACUGAGAGACAUGGUUAGUGGGCAUGCUUGUGAUGGAUCGGCAGUUGGACUUGAUGAUCUUAGAGGUCUUUUCAACAUUAAUGAUCUACGAUUCUGCUCUAUAAUUCUGCUGGCCAGCGUGUUCCUCCACAAGAGACAGGAGGCUCAUAACUGGCUGCUUUCUGUAAAGUGUCUCUUUGGAAAGAGAGGUGGGAAAUGGUGCGUGGAGAGGCAGAACAACCUUGGUGGUAACAUGGUCGCUUCAAGGCUGAAGUUUCCUCCUUGGGCCUGAAAACAGUUUUCUACACUUUGUUAGACAAACAAACAGCUUCUUUUCAGUAAAUCUCCACAAAAUGCUGAGUCCAACUGUUACUGCUCUAAAUAAUAAUAAAUAAUAAUUAUAAUCAAUAAUGAUGAUGAUGGCUAGUGCAUCGCUGUUACCAACUGAUUCUGGAUUGACUAGAAUGGAAACAGUCAUGGGUGUUUAAUGCUCUGGCAGCUCUGAACAGAAGGGCUGUUAACACCUGUAGUAAUUCAGAGGCCUAGGGCAGUCAUGGUGAGAUGGCAAAUUAAGUUUAAUGUAAUUUGAGGACAGGUGUUUCUUGGUUAUCCCUAUUAUGAAGUGUUGUAAAGAAGGCUGUACUGAAACCUACAGUCCAGAGAUUCUGAGAUGGUGUAGCAAUGAAACAAAGCAAAAAUUAGUUCAGUCAUAUCUCAGAACUGUGGGGAAGUCAUGCACUUUUGGCUUUCUGUUGCAAUGCCAGGCAUUAUGAAAAUCAUUUGACAGCAUUUUGUUGUUGGGUUUCUUUGAUGCUCUUUGUUUUUGUUUUUCUGCUUCUUCGGAGCUUUGCAUUACGUCCGUGGCUGAAAAUAGGAAGUAAGAUGCCUAAAUCUCUAACAAUUGUGUGGUUGAAAACCUUUCAGUAUUAGUAGUAAUUUACCAGUGAGCCCUGGACAAAAAAAAAGACAGAAAUUAACAUUUCUUUGUUGGUUCUCAGCAGCUCAGUGUUGCCUGUUCUGACAGCCCUUCUUAAAAUGAAUAGGGAAAAUGAACUGAUCCAGAAAUGCAAUCUGAAGUCACACAGAAAUCUCUUAAUUGUCACUGAGAAGAAAGGAAGGCUAUCCCGCAAUGGGCAAUAACCUCAAUACUAUUUUUUAAGGCUUUUCACAAUAAUGUUUUUA